GACGAACGCUGGCGGCGCGCCUAACACAUGCAAGUCGAACGAGCGAGAGAGAGCUUGCUUUCUCGAGCGAGUGGCGAACGGGUGAGUAACGCGUGAGGAACCUGCCUCAAAGAGGGGGACAACAGUUGGAAACGACUGCUAAUACCGCAUAAGCCCACGGGUCGGCAUCGACCAGAGGGAAAAGGAGCAAUCCGCUUUGAGAUGGCCUCGCGUCCGAUUAGCUAGUUGGUGAGGUAAUGGCCCACCAAGGCGACGAUCGGUAGCCGGACUGAGAGGUUGAACGGCCACAUUGGGACUGAGACACGGCCCAGACUCCUACGGGAGGCAGCAGUGGGGAAUAUUGCACAAUGGGGGAAACCCUGAUGCAGCGACGCCGCGUGGAGGAAGAAGGUCUUCGGAUUGUAAACUCCUGUUGUUGAGGAAGAUAAUGACGGUACUCAACAAGGAAGUGACGGCUAACUACGUGCCAGCAGCCGCGGUAAAACGUAGGUCACAAGCGUUGUCCGGAAUUACUGGGUGUAAAGGGAGCGCAGGCGGGAAGACAAGUUGGAAGUGAAAUCUAUGGGCUCAACCCAUAAACUGCUUUCAAACUGUUUUUCUUGAGUAGUGCAGAGGUAGGCGGAAUUCCCGGUGUAGCGGUGGAAUGCGUAGAUAUCGGGAGGAACACCAGUGGCGAAGGCGGCCUACUGGGCACCAACUGACGCUGAGGCUCGAAAGUGUGGGUAGCAAACAGGAUUAGAUACCCUGGUAGUCCACACCGUAAACGAUGAUUACUAGGUGUUGGAGGAUUGACCCCUUCAGUGCCGCAGUUAACACAAUAAGUAAUCCACCUGGGGAGUACGACCGCAAGGUUGAAACUCAAAGGAAUUGACGGGGGCCCGCACAAGCAGUGGAGUAUGUGGUUUAAUUCGACGCAACGCGAAGAACCUUACCAAGUCUUGACAUCCUGCGACGAUGCUGGAAACAGUAUUUUCCUUCGGGACGCAGAGACAGGUGGUGCAUGGUUGUCGUCAGCUCGUGUCGUGAGAUGUUGGGUUAAGUCCCGCAACGAGCGCAACCCUUACUGUCAGUUACUACGCAAGAGGACUCUGGCAGGACUGCCGUUGACAAAACGGAGGAAGGUGGGGAUGACGUCAAAUCAUCAUGCCCUUUAUGACUUGGGCUACACACGUACUACAAUGGCGUUAAACAAAGAGAAGCAAGACCGCGAGGUGGAGCAAAACUCAGAAACAACGUCCCAGUUCGGACUGCAGGCUGCAACUCGCCUGCACGAAGUCGGAAUUGCUAGUAAUCGUGGAUCAGCAUGCCACGGUGAAUACGUUCCCGGACCUU
rnacentral:rRNA from 1 species